AUCCAAGUCCGCCUCCUCUUCCUCGGCCUCCCUCGAUCUGCCUGCAUCUGCUUCCCCUUCUCCACCAAACCCUAGCCGACGCGCAGAGCUCAGGGGGAGCAUCUAGGCGGACUAGGUCAGAGCAUCGGCAGCAGCGCUCCCAUGGCGGCGCCCAAGCCCAUCUGGGUGCGCCAGGCCGAGGAGGCCAAGCUCAAGUCCGAGGCCGAGACCGCCGCCGCCGCCAAGGCCGCCUUCGAAGCGACCUUCAAGGCGCUCGCCGCCGGGUCCGGCGACGACGACCAGGACCCCGACCCCGCCCCGCCUUCCCCGGACGAGCCAGCCUCCCCCGGCUCCGACGACGACGCCCCCGCCCCGCCCGGCCCGGUCGACCCGUCCAAGUGCUCCGCCGCGGGGCCCGGCAUCGCUGGCGGCAACGCCGGCACGCCCGCCACCUUCACCGUCAUCGCCAAGGACCGCCACAGCCGGAGGCUCACCGCCGGCGGCGCGCGCGUGCGCGUGCGCGUCUCCCCUGCCGCGGGGGUCGGCGGGGACGACCUCGACGGCGCCGUCAAGGACAACGGGGACGGAUCCUACACGGUGACCUACGCCGUCCCCAAGCGCGGCAACUACAUGGUCCAUGUCGAGCUCGACGGCUCCCCCGUCAUGGGGAACCCCUUCCCCGUCUUCUUCAGCGGCUCCACCGCCACAACCACGUCUGCUUUCCCCUCCGCACUUCCGUCCGUCAGCUCAGCCUACCCAAACAUGGUCAACCAGACCAUGCCCAACAUGCCCAACUACACAGGCGCGCCCUCAAGUGCCUUCCCCAGCCUCCUCGGGGCUAUGCCUGGUUCCUCCACUGUUUCCUCUGGUGUUGUCCUGCCGGGGGUUGGUGCCUCACUGGGAGAGAUCUGCCGGGACUACAUCAACGGGAGGUGCACAAAGUCGGACACUGACUGUAAGUUCACCCAUCCGCCGCAGCAGCUGCUGAUGACGUUGCUUGCCGCUACGUCGUCUGUCAGUGCACUUGGCAGCGCACCCAUGGCACCAUCUGCGGCUGCCAUGGCAGCUGCUCAGGCCAUCAUGGCUGCCCAGGCACUGCAGGCGCAUGCUGCCCAGGCUAAAGCUGCAGGAGAGGCUUCAGGUUCAAAGGAUAAAGCUGCUGAAGCCGAUGCCCUGAAGAAAAUUGUUCAAAUUAGCAACCUGAGUCCAAUUCUUAGUGUGGAUUAUAUCAGGCAGCUAUUUGGGAUAUGUGGUAAGGUUGUUGAUUGUACCAUCACGGAUUCAAAACAUUUUGCCUAUGUCGAGUACUCCAAACCUGAAGAAGCAACUACAGCAUUGCAACUCAAUAACAGGAAUGUCGGUGGUCGUCCGUUGAAUGUGGAGAUGGCAAAAUCUCUUCCUCCCAAAGCUAAUAAUAACUUGCCUAUGAUGAUGCAACAAGCUGUUCAGUUGCAACAGAUGCAAUUCCAGCAGGCGCUAUUAAUGCAACAGACAAUAGCAACCCAACAGGCUGCUGCACGUGCGGCCACUAUGAAAUUUGCCACUGAAGCAGCUGCAGCUAGGGCUGCUGAGAUAAGCAGGAAGUUGAAGGCAGAGGGAUUAGGAGGGGACAGCGUGGAAGAAAAGGAUGCCAAAGGGAAGUCAAGAUCUCCGUCACCCCCUACUCGUAGAUCAAAAUCUCGGUCAAGAUCACCUAUUAAGUACCGUAGGAGCCGGCGAUCCCGCUCAUACUCUCCCCCAGUUAGACGCUCAAGGGACCACCAAUCACGAUCACCAUCAAGAUCUCGCCACUCAAAGUAUGGUAGUGACCGAUCACAUAGGGAUGAUAGGGACAGGUAUAGCAGGUCUGGAAGAAGAGAGAGUGACCGAUCCCGUGAUCAUCAUUCCUCUAGUUCAAGGAGAAACAGGAGCAGAAGUAAAAGUCCAAGGCAUAAGAAAGCCUCCAGAGCUGAUUCUCGGUCACCCAAGCAACAAAGAGAAGAAAGUAUAAGUCCAUCAAAAUCAAGGUCAGCUCGGGCUGGUUCAAGAUCACCACGACACCAUAAAGGAAGCAAAUCAUCGCCAACUCGUGAACGCCAUUCUCGCCGCAGUAGGCAUUCAAGAUCCAGAUCUCCUGAGAGAAAGCAUCGUCACAGUGAUAAAAAGGACAGCAGAAGGUCCGAGGUUCAGGAUGACAAAAGAAGAUCUCAUAGAGAUAGAAGUAACAAAGAUGAAAGGUCUGUAAAGGAUGAAGUGGAAAGAUCCCAUAGAGGUAACAGAGAUGACAAAGAUGAUAGGUCUGUAAAGGAUGAAGCGGAAAGAUCCCAAAGACGUAACAGAGGUGACAAAGAUGAAAGGUCUGUAAAGGAUGAAGCGGAAAGAUCCCAAAGAGGUAACAGAGGUGACAAAGAUGUAAGGUCUGUAAAGGAUGAAGUGGAAAGAUCCCAAAGAGGUAACAGUGGUGACAAAGAUGAAAGGUCUGUAAAGGAUGAAGCGGAAAGAUCCUGUAGAGGUGACAAAGAUGAACAUUCUGUACAGGAUCCAGUUGAAGAUAGAAGGGCGGAAUCGGCAGAUACUUCUGCUGCUGCACAUAAGAGGAGCUCAACAGUAUCUGAAGAUGAAAUUCUGAACAAUAAUAGUAGCAACCAUAAGAAAUCUAGACGUGAUGAUGAUUUGGAAGAUGAUGAAAGGAACGAUGUGUGCUCUGCUGUAGCUGACAUUAAUGGGAAACAUGGAUCUGGAGUAGAUGGCUCUUUAGGGGGCACUGGAGAAUCUGCUAUAUGAUAGCAACCAGUGUUUACUUGGUGGCUGCUGUUUCAUCCAGUUGGCUGAUCACAGUAUCACUUGAUUGAUGAUGAUGCAGAAUGCUGAACUGGUGUUUAUUAUCAUCCUUUCUGAUUUAGGAGUUUUAUUUGCAGGGUAUGAAGAUCUUCGGAGAACUUUCGGAGUGUUCAUCUGAUGUAUUAAAAUGCUCAUGGUUCCAUGAAGGGUUGUUGGAGCUCAUUUCUGGGAUGUCGAUUGAAGAUACAACUAUACAAGGGAGUACACACUUACUCAAGGUUCUGCCUCAGAAGCCAGUGUAAGUGACUGAUGUGAGGCAAUCGACCCUAUUCGAGUUGUGCCUUGAUAGCUCCAGAGAUAAGCAGCAUAACUUUGAACAAUUGUGUUGCAUUCCUUACACAUUUCUAUUAUUCUUCACAUUAUUUCUGCUUCUUUAGUCAGUGUGCGAGUUUGCAUCUGGAUCUUCUGUAACUGGUGCUGUCAUACUGGGAAACCCGUGCAGGUUUUUCAAAGGGGAUUGGCAUUGGCGUCUGUUUUGAGGGGAGUCAGUUCACUUUCAGAAGGGAUAAAAGAUUGUUUUGGGGGUGAACGAGGAGGUGGCAUGUUCUCUCAGGAAUUAAGAUCGUGUUCUGCACCGUAGCUGCACGUGAGCCGAAUGUGCUUGCUGCGGCUUGGGAUAGAACCAAACUAAGUUGUCUGCCUUUAGAACCAAUUUUGUUUUGUUCAUAGCAAGUGUCAGAAAUCAAAGUCCGUCUGCAUAACAUCAUCUACGGAUGAGGGGCACCUUUUCUCCUUCAGUUCCAAGGAUGUCAAAUGAUUACAUUGCCACUACAAUUUGUGUCCCAAAUGGAGCAUGUCAUUACAAUAAUCACGCGCUACUGUAUGUGACAACGUCGCCGGCAAUGACAACGACCUCGGGACUCGUGA